AGUGAACGUUGGCGGCGUGCCUAACACAUGCAAGUCGUACGCCCCAUAAGCAGCUUGCUGCUUAUGGGGAGUGGCGGACGGGUGAGUAACACGUGGGUAACCUACCCUCGAGUGGGGGAUAACCUCGCGAAAGCGGGGCUAAUACCGCAUAAUACCCUGUGGCCUAAGCCAUCAGGGUCAAAGCCUUCGGGCGCUUGAGGAUGGGCCCGCGGCCUAUUAGCUUGUUGGUAGGGUAACGGCCUACCAAGGCGACGAUGGGUAGCCGGCCUGAGAGGGUGUCCGGCCACACUGGGACUGAGACACGGCCCAGACUCCUACGGGAGGCAGCAGUGGGGAAUCUUGCGCAAUGGGCGAAAGCCCGACGCAGCGACGCCGCGUGGGGGAUGACGGCCUUCGGGUUGUAAACCCCUGUCAGAGGUGAAGAAAGCCCUUCGGGGCCUGACGGUAACCUCAGAGGAAGCCCCGGCCAACUACGUGC
rnacentral:rRNA from 1 species